rnacentral:rRNA from 1 species
UACGUAGGCAGCGAGCGUUGUUCGGAGUUACUGGGCGUAAAGGGUGUGUAGGCGGUUGCUUAAGUUUGGUGUGAAAUCUCCCGGCUCAACUGGGAGGGUGCGCCGAAUACUGAGUGACUAGAGUGCGGGAGAGGAAAGUGGAAUUCCUGGUGUAGCGGUGAAAUGCGUAGAUAUCAGGAGGAACAUCGGUGGUGUAGACGGCUUUCUGGACCGUAACUGACGCUGAGGCACGAAAGCGUGGGUAGCAAACAGG